rnacentral:tRNA from 1 species
CAAGAGGUAGUUUAAGUAGAAUAUCAGCUUUGGGUGUUGAUGGUGGGGUUUGUGAGCCUCUCUCUUGA